rnacentral:rRNA from 1 species
AAAUUGAAGAGUUUGAUCAUGGCUCAGAUUGAACGCUGGCGGCAGGCCUAACACAUGCAAGUCGAACGGUAACAGGAAGCAGCUUGCUGCUUUGCUGACGAGUGGCGGACGGGUGAGUAAUGUCUGGGAAACUGCCUGAUGGAGGGGAUAACUACUGGAAACGGUGGCUAAUACCGCAUAACGUCGCAAGACCAAAGAGGGGGACCUUCGGGCCUCUUGCCAUCAGAUGUGCCCAGAUGGGAUUAGCUUGUUGGUGAGGUAACGGCUCACCAAGGCGACGAUCCCUAGCUGGUCUGAGAGGAUGACCAGCCACACUGGAACUGAGACACGGUCCAGACUCCUACGGGAGGCAGCAGUGGGGAAUAUUGCACAAUGGGCGCAAGCCUGAUGCAGCCAUGCCGCGUGUAUGAAGAAGGCCUUCGGGUUGUAAAGUACUUUCAGCGGGGAGGAAGGUGUUGUGGUUAAUAACCGCAGCAAUUGACGUUACCCGCAGAAGAAGCACCGGCUAACUCCGUGCCAGCAGCCGCGGUAAUACGGAGGGUGCAAGCGUUAAUCGGAAUUACUGGGCGUAAAGCGCACGCAGGCGGUCUGUCAAGUCGGAUGUGAAAUCCCCGGGCUCAACCUGGGAACUGCAUUCGAAACUGGCAGGCUUGAGUCUUGUAGAGGGGGUAGAAUUCCAGGUGUAGCGGUGAAAUGCGUAGAGAUCUGGAGGAAUACCGGUGGCGAAGGCGGCCCCUGGACAAAGACUGACGCUCAGGUGCGAAAGCGUGGGGAGCAAACAGGAUUAGAUACCCUGGUAGUCCACGCCGUAAACGAUGUCUACUUGGAGGUUGUGCCCUUGAGGCGUGGCUUCCGGAGCUAACGCGUUAAGUAGACCGCCUGGGGAGUACGGCCGCAAGGUUAAAACUCAAAUGAAUUGACGGGGGCCCGCACAAGCGGUGGAGCAUGUGGUUUAAUUCGAUGCAACGCGAAGAACCUUACCUGGUCUUGACAUCCACGGAAGAAUUCAGAGAUGGAUUUGUGCCUUCGGGAACCGUGAGACAGGUGCUGCAUGGCUGUCGUCAGCUCGUGUUGUGAAAUGUUGGGUUAAGUCCCGCAACGAGCGCAACCCUUAUCCUUUGUUGCCAGCGAUUAGGUCGGGAACUCAAAGGAGACUGCCAGUGAUAAACUGGAGGAAGGUGGGGAUGACGUCAAGUCAUCAUGGCCCUUACGACCAGGGCUACACACGUGCUACAAUGGCGCAUACAAAGAGAAGCGACCUCGCGAGAGCAAGCGGACCUCAUAAAGUGCGUCGUAGUCCGGAUUGGAGUCUGCAACUCGACUCCAUGAAGUCGGAAUCGCUAGUAAUCGUGGAUCAGAAUGCCACGGUGAAUACGUUCCCGGGCCUUGUACACACCGCCCGUCACACCAUGGGAGUGGGUUGCAAAAGAAGUAGGUAGCUUAACCUUCGGGAGGGCGCUUACCACUUUGUGAUUCAUGACUGGGGUGAAGUCGUAACAAGGUAACCGUAGGGGAACCUGCGGUUGGAUCACCUCCUUA